rnacentral:rRNA from 1 species
AACGAACGCUGGCGGCAUGCCUAACACAUGCAAGUCGAACGAGACCUUCGGGUCUAGUGGCGCACGGGUGCGUAACGCGUGGGAACCUGCCCUUAGGUUCGGAAUAACUCCCCGAAAGGGGUGCUAAUACCGGAUAAUGUCUUCGGACCAAAGAUUUAUCGCCUUUGGAUGGGCCCGCGUUGGAUUAGCUAGUUGGUAGGGUAAAAGCCUACCAAGGCGACGAUCCAUAGCUGGUCUGAGAGGAUGAUCAGCCACACUGGGACUGAGACACGGCCCAGACUCCUACGGAAGGCAGCAGUGGGGAAUAUUGGACAAUGGGCGAAAGCCUGAUCCAGCAAUGCCGCGUGAGUGAUGAAGGCCCUAGGGUUGUAAAGCUCUUUUACCCGGGAUGAUAAUGACAGUACCGGGAGAAUAAGCUCCGGCUAACUCCGUG